CAGUCGCCACGGGAAUACGAAGGGUGCAAGCGUUAAUCGGAAUUACUGGGCGUAAAGCGUGCGUAGGCGGUGAGUUAAGUCUGCUGUGAAAUCCCCGGGCUCAACCUGGGAAUGGCAGUGGAUACUGGCUCGCUAGAGUGUGUCAGAGGAUGGUGGAAUUCCCGGUGUAGCGGUGAAAUGCGUAGAGAUCGGGAGGAACAUCAGUGGCGAAGGCGGCCAUCUGGGACAACACUGACGCUGAGGCACGAAAGCGUGGGUAGCAAACAGGAUUAGAUACCCCAGUAGUCCCUGUCUCUUAUAC
rnacentral:rRNA from 1 species